rnacentral:rRNA from 1 species
GACGAACGCUGGCGGCGUGCUUAACACAUGCAAGUCGUACGGUAAGGCCCUUUCAGGGGUACACGAGUGGCGAACGGGUGAGUAACACGUGAGUAACCUGCCCACAACUUUGGGAUAACGCUAGGAAACUGGUGCUAAUACUGGAUAUGUGCUCCUGCUGCAUGGUGGGGGUUGGAAAGCUCCGGCGGUUGUGGAUGGACUCGCGGCCUAUCAGCUUGUUGGUGGGGUAGUGGCCUACCAAGGCGGCGACGGGUAGCCGGCCUGAGAGGGUGACCGGCCACAUUGGGACUGAGAUACGGCCCAGACUCCUACGGGAGGCAGCAGUGGGGAAUAUUGCACAAUGGGCGCAAGCCUGAUGCAGCAACGCCGCGUGCGGGAUGACGGCCUUCGGGUUGUAAACCGCUUUCAGCAGGGACGAAGCUUUUUGUGACGGUACCUGCAGAAGAAGCACCGGCUAACUACGUG